AGCCUGAUGCAGCGACGCCGCGUGGGGGAUGACGGUCUUCGGAUUGUAAACCCCUUUCAGUAGGGACGAAGCGCAAGUGACGGUACCUGCAGAAGAAGCACCGGCUAACUACGUGCCAGCAGCCGCGGUAAUACGUAGGGUGCGAGCGUUGUCCGGAAUUACUGGGCGUAAAGAGCUCGUAGGCGGUUUGUCACGUCGUCUGUGAAAUCCCUCGGCUUAACCGGGGGCGUGCAGGCGAUACGGGCAGACUUGAGUACUACAGGGGAGACUGGAAUUCCUGGUGUAGCGGUGAAAUGCGCAGAUAUCAGGAGGAACACCGGUGGCGAAGGCGGGUCUCUGGGUAGUAACUGACGCUGAGGAGCGAAAGCAUGGGUAGCGAACAGGAUUAGAUACCCUGGUAGUCCAUGCCGUAAACGGUGGGCGCUAGGUGUGGGGUCCUUCCACGGACUCCGUGCCGUAGCUAACGCAUUAAGCGCCCCGCCUGG
rnacentral:rRNA from 2 species